GCAUAUGUUGUUGCAAAAACUAAACGCCCAUUCAUCAAGCGAGUCGAGAUGAGAGGAAUCAUUGUAUAAAAGGCUAGCAUGUAAAAGCUGGAAGAAGGAAAGAACACGGGAUAUGUAAUGGAACAUGGGAAAUUGAUAUGGACAUUGAUAUGGACAUUGAUAUGAACAUGAAUAUGAACAUGAAUAUGAACAUGAAUAUGGUAUAGAGAACUACAUCGACACAGAAAAGAAAACAAAAGUUGCUAAAAUGACAAAGGUGCCGAAUCAACAGGC
rnacentral:lncRNA from 1 species